AAGUAGAUUACAUUUCUUGGAUCUUAGCCAAACAUAACAAAGUGGAUCCUUCCAAAGAGUGAGAAGAAUUUGUUUGGCAGAAGAAUUGCUGCCUUGAUCAAGAAAGCUUUUCCACUCAGUUUUCUGGAAGAGGGAGAAAAAAAUCCUGGUAAACCGACUUAAAUGCCCCCAUUGGGAAGAUGCUUCAUCCCUCUAGGCUGAAUUAGUUGCUCCAUCCUCUGUUUUCACUGAAAGGUGGAGAGCAAGUUGGAGCCAAGGGAUAGAAGAAAGGCAGAGGACCCCAUGCAGGAGCAGCAAAGCAUGCAGGAGAAACCUGCAAUGCACAGUCAAAUGAACUGUUGCAGUCCACGUGGAGCAGAGAGCAAGGUUGGAUGGGACUCAAACUGAAACAUCGGCUCUUCCUGGGAUUUGAGCCUGCCAGCCUGUGGAUCAGAAGUAUACCAUCAGCUCUCCUGGGUCUCCAGCUUGCCCGCUCACCCUGCAGAUCUUGGGACUUGUCAGCCUCUCCAAUCAUGUGACCCAAUUCCUUAUAAUAUAUCUCUUUCUAUAUAUAUACAUCUUAUUGGUUCUGUUUCUCUGGAGACUAAUUCAGAAGGUGAAAUUGGUUCUACUGCAUUUUUUGGCAAACACAAUGUGGUAGGCAGAAUUCUAAUAAAACAGCUCCCAAGUUUCCAUACCCAAAUCCUGGGAAUCUGUGAAUAUGAAAAGAUACCAUUUCUGUGAUCGUGUUGUGUUAUAUAGAGAUUAUCUGGGUGGGCCUAAUCUCAUCACAUAAAUCCAUGUAAAAGCAGAGAGUUUUCUCUGGCUGGAGGCAAUAAUGGAAAUCAGAGGGGUUAGUGUGAAGGAGACUCCACAAGAGGGAUCUUGUCCCAGAUGUGAUGCUGUGGGAGGGCCUGUAAGAAGGCCUGUGUGAGGAACUGUGAAAGUGACCCCUAGCCCACAGUCAAAAAACAAAGAUCUCAGUCCUAGAACUGCAAGGAUCUGCCAAACUCAAAUGAGCUUAGGAGUAGAUUCCUCUCUAGGGCCUCCAGAUAAGAACCCAACCUACUGACACCUUGACUCUUAUCUGGUGAAACCUGAAGCAGAGAACCACCCAGUUGAGUCUGCCUGGACUUUGGACCUACAGAAUUGGGAUAAUAAAUGGGUGUUGUUUUAAGAAUUUGUGGUAAUCUGUUUCACAGCAAUUGAAAACUAAUGCAGUCAUGGAGAUGUGUUUUCCUGUGGCAGCAUUAGCAGAGAUUUAGGGGCCAGUCAUUGGUAUCAGGAGACAGGGUGUAGGACACCUGUUUUGGCUGGUGCAGACCUAGCAGGUGUAAUGGCUCUGGAGCCAAUGGUUCCAGUGAUGGCCUCCUUGUUUCUAGCUUUCCCAUUGUGGCAGAGGCUGGGGUUACUCUGGCAAGACAGUUUUUCAGUGUUGUUCUUGGAUUCUGGAAGUGCAGUCUACACCCCAUUUAUCCAGUCCUUCCAAUGAUGCUUUGAGCACCCAAUUGCUUAUAUUAAAUCACUGCUUAGAUAUAAGAUAAUUUUUGUUAUAUGCUACUGAACCUUGACUAUUUUAUUUCCAAAUCUCUCCUACUUUUUAAAUAUAAUGACAUCUGUCAGCUUAUUUAAAAUUCUGAAGAACUGACCGCUCCUUACUUCUUGAAAAUCCCUCUUCUUUUGUUUUUGAUGACAUUUCACUCUCUGGUUUCUCUUAUAUAACUCCUUUACUAAUUUUCAUUCUAUUUUGCUGGCUCAUUUUCAUUCAUCAGACAUGUAUUGAGCAUGUACUAGGUUGUAGGCACUGUAUGCAAAGGGCAGAGGCCUCAUCAAGAACUGAUCAUGGACCUUGUCCUCCAGGGAUUUGCCAAUAUGUAAACAAGUUAACUAUAAUGAGUUGAUAACAUCUGUAAUAGAGGUGAAUAAAUGUAUUCUACAAGCCCAAAGAAGAAAACACAUGGCUCUCUGGGAGCAACCAGGGAGUGCUUUACAAAAAUGAUGGCACCUGAUGGUCUUCUAGAGUAGAUGUGUCUCAGGCAAAGUAAGGAAGGGCAUUCCAGGCAGAAGAAACAGGGCAAAGGCAUGAAAGUUUGAAAAUGUGACACAUUAAAGGAGUAGCAAAAAGUUUUCUGUGACUGGUUUUCUGGGGGGAAGGAAGAUUGGUAGAAAGUCAGGAUUUGUAUAGAAGGUAACACACGAAUUGUAUUUAGAAACAAGAGUUUACAGGAGAUAGUUACUGUACUAGAAAUCUUAACCUUUGAUGACUACCCAUUACAUUCAAAUAAAUCUGAAGCCACUUCUUGGCUUGGUUAAAAGGUUAUCAUCUGACUAACUCUUUAGGCUUACUCUCAUCCCAUUUUCCUCAUCCAUUCACUCAUUUACUCAUUCACUUAUUUAGUCAAAGAGGUAUGUUUGUGUGGGUGCAUAUCAUGUAACAUGUGAAGUUCAUUAUAAGGACUUUGGCUUUUAUUCUAGAUGAGAUGGAAUGUCAGUUGAGUGGUCUGAUCUAAUUUACAUUUUAAAAGAAUCACUGGCUACUGUCUGGGGAGUAAAAUGGGGUGGAAGGCAAGCAUAUAAGCAAUGAGACAAAUAAGGAAGUUAUUGUAAUAAUCCAGAAAUAACUGUGGCAUGGAUCAGCAUAGAAGUGGUGGAGAUAGUGAGAAAGAUUAUGAUCCUGUAUAUAUUUUAAAGGUGGAUAUGAUAGGAUUGCUGGUGGAUUGAAUGUAGGGUAUAAGAAAAAUGAGGUAUCAAGGGUGAUACCAAGGUUUGGGCUGGGUCACAUGAUGGAGAUAGGUUUUUUUUUUAAAUUAAGAUUUAUUUAUUUAUUUUAGAGGGUGGGGGGACAGAGAGAGAAAAUCUUCAAGCAGACUCCCUGGGAGCCUGACAUGGGGCUCAAUCUCAUGACCCAUGAUAUCAUUACCUGAGCCAGAACCAAGAGUCUGACGCUUAACCGACUGUGUCAUCCAGACACCCCAGGGGUCACUUUUUUAACAUAGUGAUUUUGAGAUGCCUGUCAGACAUUCAAGCUGCAUUUUAAGCAUGCAGUUAGACAUAGGCAUCUGGACUUAGAAGAGAGGUUGAGGCAGGACUCAUGGGUGGUUUACUUGGUAUUUGAAACCAUGACAUUGAAUGAGAUCACCUAGGGAGUGAGAGUAGAUGAGGAAGAGAAGUCAUGCAAGGGCUGAGCACCAGGGUCUCCAGCUCUUAAAGUUCUGGAAGAUAUGAAGAAUCAGCAAAGGAAACUGGAGGGAGUGGCCACUGAAGGAGGAGGAGAGACCAUCAGGAGGGUGUCAAGUCCUGGAAGCCUAGUGAAGAAUGUGUUUCGAGGAGGGAGGGAUCAGAUGGGUUAAGUGCUGAGGGCAGGUCAGGUCAAAUCGGAUGAGGUCAAAAAAAUGAUCAUUGGGGGCGCCUGGGUGGCUCAGUUGGUUAAGCGACUGCCUUCAGCUCAGGUCAUGAUCCUGGAGUCCCUGGAUCGAGUCCCGCAUCGGGCUCCCUGCUUGGCGGGGAGUCUGCUUCCCCCUUUGACCCUCCCCUCUCUCAUGUGCUCUCUCUCAUUCUCGCUCUCUCAAAUAAAUAAAUAAAAUCUUUUAAAAAAAAUGAUCAUUGGAUUUUGCAAUGUGGAGAUCAUUGACACAUGACAAGAGACAUUUCAGUAGCACCAGGGAAAAGCCUAAUUGGAGUGGGUUCAACAGAGAAUUGAAGAAGAGGGACUGCAGAUGGUGGGUAAGGCAAUUCUUUCAAGGAGUUUUGUAACAAAGUCAUGGAGAAAAAUGAGGCAGUGGUAGGAGGGGAAGGAAACGGGGUCAAGAGAGGGCUUUUUUUUUCUCUUUAAAAUUUGAGAAGUAACAGCAUUUUUGUAUUUUCCAUUUUGCUGAUGGAUAUGAUGAUGCGGGAGAGUGGGGAAUGAUUACUUACAGCAAUGUCCUUGAGAAGGCGAGAGUGCCUUGAGUCUACUGUCCAAAGAAGUGCUGGCUCAGAGAGGGA